rnacentral:rRNA from 1 species
GUGUGUGAAAAGCGCGGACUCAACCCGCAGACGGCACAUGAUACUGCGAGACUAGAGUGAUGGAGAGGAAACCGGAAUUCUCGGUGUAGCAGUGAAAUGCGUAGAUAUCGAGAGGAACACUCGUGGCGAAGGCGGGUUCCUGGACAUUAACUGACGCUGAGGCACGAAGGCCAGGGGAGCGAAAG